rnacentral:rRNA from 1 species
UACGGAGGAUGCGAGCGUUAUCCGGAUUCAUUGGGUUUAAAGGGUGCGCAGGCGGGUUGGUAAGUCAGUGGUGAAAUUUUGCAGCUUAACUGUAAACGUGCCUUUGAUACUGCCAGUCUUGAGUUUGGUCAAGGUAGGCGGAAUGUGUAAUGUAGCGGUGAAAUGCUUAGAUAUUACACAGAACACCGAUUGCGAAGGCAGCUUACUGGGCCACGACUGACGCUCAUGCACGAAAGCGUGGGGAGCAAACAGG